UAGGGAAUCUUCCGCAAUGGGCGAAAGCUUGACGGAGCAACGCCGCGUGAGUGAUGAAGGUCUUCGGAUCGUAAAACUCUGUUAUUAGGGAAGAACAAAUGUGUAAGUAACUAUGCACGUCUUGACGGUACCUAAUCAGAAAGCCACGGCUAACUACGUGCCAGCAGCCGCGGUAAUACGUAGGUGGCAAGCGUUAUUCGGAAUUAUUGGGCGUAAAGCGCGCGUAGGCGGUUUUUUAAGUCUGAUGUGAAAGCCCACGGCUCAACCGUGGAGGGUCAUUGGAAACUGGAAAACUUGAGUGCAGAAGAGGAAAGUGGAAUUCCAUGUGUAGCGGUGAAAUGCGCAGAGAUAUGGAGGAACACCAGUGGCGAAGGCGACUUUCUGGUCUGUAACUGACGCUGAUGUGCGAAAGCGUGGGGAUCAAACAGG
rnacentral:rRNA from 1 species